rnacentral:rRNA from 1 species
AAAUUGAAGAGUUUGAUCAUGGCUCAGAUUGAACGCUGGCGGCAGGCCUAACACAUGCAAGUCGAACGGUAACAGGAAACAGCUUGCUGUUUCGCUGACGAGUGGCGGACGGGUGAGUAAUGUCUGGGAAACUGCCUGAUGGAGGGGGAUAACUACUGGAAACGGUAGCUAAUACCGCAUAACGUCGCAAGACCAAAGAGGGGGACCUUCUGGCCUCUUGCCAUCGGAUGUGCCCAGAUGGGAUUAGCUAGUAGGUGGGGUAACGGCUCACCUAGGCGACGAUCCCUAGCUGGUCUGAGAGGAUGAACAGCCACACUGGAACUGAGACACGGUCCAGACUCCUACGG